rnacentral:rRNA from 1 species
AUUGAACGCUGGCGGCAGGCCUAACACAUGCAAGUCGAGCGGAUGAAGGGAGCUUGCUCCUGGAUUCAGCGGCGGACGGGUGAGUAAUGCCUAGGAAUCUGCCUGGUAGUGGGGGAUAACGUCCGGAAACGGGCGCUAAUACCGCAUACGUCCUGAGGGAGAAAGUGGGGGAUCUUCGGACCUUACGCUAUCAGAUGAGCCUAGGUCGGAUUAGCUAGUUGGUGGGGUAAAGGCCUACCAAGGCGACGAUCCGUAACUGGUCUGAGAGGAUGAUCAGUCACACUGGAACUGAGACACGGUCCAGACUCCUACGGGAGGCAGCGGUGGGGAAUAUUGGACGAUGGGCGAAAGACUGAUCCAGCCAUGCCGCGUGUGUGAAGAAGGUCUUCGGAUUGUAAAGCACUUUAAGUUGGGAAGAAGGGCAGUAAGUUAAUACCUUGCUGUUUUGACGUUACCAACAGAAUAAGCACCGGCUAACUUCGUG